rnacentral:rRNA from 1 species
UACAGAGGUCUCAAGCGUUGUUCGGAUUCAUUGGGCGUAAAGGGUGCGUAGGUGGCGCGCUAAGUCAGGUGUGAAAUUUCGGAGCUUAACUCCGAACUGCAUUUGAUACUGGCGUGCUUGAGGACUGGAGAGGAGACUGGAAUUCAUGGUGUAGCAGUGAAAUGCGUAGAUAUCGUGAGGAAGACCAGUGGCGAAGGCGGAUCUCUGGACAGUUCCUGACGCUGAGGCGCGAAGGCCAGGGGAGCCAAAGCGGG